rnacentral:rRNA from 1 species
UACUAGGUGUGGGUUUCCUUCCUUGGGAUCCGUGCCGUAGCUAACGCAUUAAGUACCCCGCCUGGGGAGUACGGCCGCAAGGCUAAAACUCAACGGAAUUGACGGGGGCCCGCACAAGCGGCGGAGCAUGUGGAUUAAUUCGAUGCAACGCGAAGAACCUUACCUGGGUUUGACAUGCACAGGACGCGUCUAGAGAUAGGCGUUCCCUUGUGGCCUGUGUGC